rnacentral:rRNA from 1 species
GACGAACGCUGGCGGCGUGCUUAACACAUGCAAGUCGAGCGAUGAAAGCCUUAUGAACUAUUCGUAGUGAUUGGGGCCGGAUUAGCGGCGGACGGGUGAGUAACGCGUGAGCAACCUGCCUUAAACAACAGGAUAGCCUCGGGAAACCGGGAUUAAUACCGUAUGAGACCCCGCCUUCACAUGAAGAAGAGGUUAAAGAUUUAUCGGUUUAAGAUGGGCUCGCGUCUGAUUAGCUAGUUGGUGAGAUAAAAGCCCACCAAGGCAACGAUCAGUAACCGGCUUGAGAGAGAGAACGGUCACAUUGGAACUGAGACACGGUCCAAACUCCUACGGGAGGCAGCAGUGGAGAAUAUUGGGCAAUGGGGGAAACCCUGACCCAGCAACGCCGCGUGAAGGAAGAAGGUUUUCGGAUUGUAAACUUCUGUCCUUGGUGAAGAGAAGAAGACGGUAGCCAAGGAGGAAGCCCCGGCUAACUACGUGCCAGCAGCAGCCGUAA